rnacentral:rRNA from 1 species
GAGGAAAUUCUGCAAUGCUCGAAAGAGUGACAGAAUGAGUCAGAGUGUUUUCUUUUAGAAAACUUUUGUUAGUUGUAAAAAGACUAGCGAAUAAGGACUGGGCAAGACCGGUGCCAGCCGCCGCGGUAAUACCGGCGGUCCAAGUCGCAUCCACAUUUAUUUGGUCCAAAACAUUCGUAGCUUGUUUUGUAAGUCUCUUGUGAAAUCUGGCAUCUUAAGUGUCAGGCGUGCAAGAGAUACUACAUUGCUUGAGACCGGAAGACGCAAAGAGUAUGAAGGAGGUAGUGGUAAAAUAUGUUAAUCUCCUUCAGACUAACAAUAGCGAAGGCACUUUGCGAGUACGGAUCUGACAGUGAGGAAUGAAGGCUAGGGGCGCAAAAGGGAUUAGAUACCCCUGUAGUCCUAGCAGUAAACACUGCUCACUAAACAUUAGUGCCUCCUCGAGAGGCAUUAGUGCUGUAGAGAAGUCGAAGAGUGAGCUACCUGGGAAGUAUAGUCGCAAGGCUGAAACU